CCUACGGGAGGCAGCAGUAGGGAAUAUUGCUCAAUGGGGGAAACCCUGAAGCAGCAACGCCGCGUGGAGGAUGAAGGUUUUCGGAUUGUAAACUCCUUUUGUUAGAGAAGAAAAUGACGGUAUCUAACGAAUAAGCACCGGCUAACACCGUGCAAGCAGCCGCGGGAAUACGGAGGGUGCAAGCGUUACACGGAUUCACUGGGCGUAAAGAGCGCGUAGGCGGGAUAGCAAGUCAGAUGUGAAAUCCUAUGGCUUAACCAUAGAACUGCAUUUGAAACUGUUAUUCUAGAGUAUGGGAGAGGUAGGUGGAAUUCUUGGUGUAGGGGUAAAAUCCGUAGAGAUCAAGAGGAAUACUCAUUGCGAAGGCGACCUGCUAGAACAUAACUGACGCUGAUGCGCGAAAGCGUGGGGAGCAAACAGGAUUAGAUACCCGAGUAGUC
rnacentral:rRNA from 1 species